CAGAAGUUAGUUAAAUUAUAACAUAAACUUGUCAUAUUUAAAUUGUCCUUCUAGACACUUCUUU
rnacentral:tRNA from 1 species